rnacentral:rRNA from 1 species
CCGACAGGUGGUCAGGUAGAGAAUACCGAGGCGAUCGGGCGAACUGUGGUUAAGGAACUCGGCAAAUUACCCCCGUAACUUCGGGAGAAGGGGGGCCACAGACUGUCAUACCCCACGCGGGUGGCAGCAGUAGGUGGCCGCAGAGACCAGGGGGAAGCGACUGUUUACUAAAAACACAGGUCCGUGCGAAGUCGUAAGACGAUGUAUACGGACUGACGCCUGCCCGGUGCUGGAACGUUAAGGGGACCGGUUAGUCCGCAAGGGCGAAGCUGAGAACUUAAGCGCCAGUAAACGGCGGUGGUAACUAUAACCAUCCUAAGGUAGCGAAAUUCCUUGUCGGGUAAGUUCCGACCUGCACGAAUGGCGUAACGACUUCCCUACUGUCUCAACCACAGGCCCGGCGAAAUUGCACUACGAGUAAAGAUGCUCGUUACGCGCGGAAGGACGGAAAGACCCCGGGACCUUCACUAUAGCUUGACAUUGGUAUCCGAAUUUAAUUGUGUAGGAUAGGUGGGAGGCUUUGAUCCGCGGACGCCAGUCCGUCGGGGAGCCAACGUUGAAAUACCACUCUGUUGAAUUUGGGUAUCUAACUUCGGACCGUGAUCCGGUUCAGGGACAGUGUCUGGUGGGUAGUUUAACUGGGGCGGUUGCCUCCUAAAAUGUAACGGAGGCGCCCAAAGGUUCCCUCAGCCUGGUUGGCAAUCAGGUGUUGAGUGCAAGUGCACAAGGGAGCUUGACUGUGAGACUGACAGGUCGAGCAGGGACGAAAGUCGGGACUAGUGAUCCGGCACCUGCGAGUGGAAGCGGUGUCGCUCAACGGAUAAAAGGUACCCCGGGGAUAACAGGCUGAUCUUCCCCAAGAGUCCAUAUCGACGGGAUGGUUUGGCACCUCGAUGUCGGCUCGUCGCAUCCUGGGGCUGGAGUAGGUCCCAAGGGUUGGGCUGUUCGCCCAUUAAAGCGGCACGCGAGCUGGGUUUAGAACGUCGUGAGACAGUUCGGUCCCUAUCCUCCGCGCGCGUAGGAGACUUGAGAAGAGCUGUCCCUAGUACGAGAGGACCGGGACGGACGAACCUCUGGUGUGCCAGUUGUCAUGCCAAUGGCACGGCUGGUUAGCUACGUUCGGAAGGGAUAACCGCUGAAAGCAUCUAAGCGGGAAGCUCGCUUCAAGAUGAGGUCUCCCACCCCUUGAGGGUUAAGGCCCCCAGCUAGACCACUGGGUUGAUAGGCCAGAAGUGUAAGCCUGGUAACAGGUUCAGCCGACUGGUACUAAUAGGCCGAGGACUUCACUG